AAGUCGAACGAGAUCCCGGAGCUUGCUCCGGGGGACAGUGGCGAACGGGUGAGUAACACGUGAGAAACCUGCCCUAGAGACCGGGACAACCGUUGGAAACGACGGCUAAUACCGGAUGCCUUCACAUGGUCGCAUGGCCGAGUGAAGAAAUGCUCAGGUGCUCUAGGAGGGUCUCGCGGCCUAUCAGCUAGUUGGUGAGGUAACGGCUCACCAAGGCAUCGACGGGUAGCUGGUCUGAGAGGACGAUCAGCCACACUGGGACUGAGACACGGCCCAGACUCCUACGGGAGGCAGCAGUAGGGAAUCUUGCGCAAUGGGGGAAACCCUGACGCAGCAACGCCGCGUGUGGGAUGACGGCUUUCGGGUUGUAAACCACUUUCAGUGAUGACGAAAAUGACGGUAAUCACAGAAGAAGGUCCGGCCAACUACGUGCCAGCAGCCGCGGUAACACGUAGGGACCGAGCGUUGUCCGGAUUUAUUGGGCGUAAAGAGCUCGUAGGCGGUUCUGUAAGUCGGAUGUGAAAACUCAGGGCUCAACCCUGAGACGCCAUCUGAUACUGCAGUGACUAGAGUCCGGUAGAGGAAGAUGGAAUUCCUGGUGUAGCGGUGGAAUGCGCAGAUAUCAGGAGGAACACCAAUGGCGAAGGCAGUCUUCUGGGCCGGUACUGACGCUGAGGAGCGAAAGCAUGGGGAGCAAACAGGAUUAGAUACCCUGGUAGUCCAUGCCGUAAACGUUGGGCACUAGGUGUGGGGUCUUCUAACGGAUUCCGUGCCGUAGCUAACGCAUUAAGUGCCCCGCCUGGGGAGUACGGCCGCAAGGCUAAAA
rnacentral:rRNA from 1 species